rnacentral:rRNA from 1 species
CCUACGGGAGGCAGCAGUGGGGAAUAUUGCACAAUGGGCGGAAGCCUGAUGCAGCGACGCCGCGUGAGGGAUGACGGCCUUCGGGUUGUAAACCUCUUUCAGUAGGGAAGAAGCGUAAGUGACGGUACCUGCAGAAGAAGCGCCGGCUAACUACGUGCCAGCAGCCGCGGUAAUACGUAGGGCGCAAGCGUUAUCCGGAAUUAUUGGGCGUAAAGAGCUCGUAGGCGGUUUGUCGCGUCUGCUGUGAAAGCCGGGGCUCAACUCCGGUUCUGCAGUGGGUACGGGCAGACUAGAGUGAUGUAGGGGAGACUGGAAUUCCUGGUGUAGCGGUGAAAUGCGCAGAUAUCAGGAGGAACACCGAUGGCGAAGGCAGGUCUCUGGGCAUUAACUGACGCUGAGGAGCGAAAGCAUGGGGAGCGAACAGGAUUAGAUACCCUGGUAGUCCAUGCCGUAAACGUUGGGCACUAGGUGUGGGGGACAUUCCACGUUUUCCGCGCCGUAGCUAACGCAUUAAGUNCCCCGCUGGGGNGCGCGCAGNGACACAGA